rnacentral:rRNA from 1 species
GACGUAGGGCGCGAGCGUUGUCCGGAUUUAUUGGGCGUAAAGAGCUCGUAGGCGGCUUGUCGCGUCGAAUGUGAAAACCCACGGCUCAACUGUGGGCUUGCAUUCGAUACGGGCAGGCUAGAGUUCGGUAGGGGAGACUGGAAUUCCUGGGUGUAGCGGUGAAAAUGCGCAGAUAUCAGGAGGAACACCGGUGGCGAAGGCGGGGUCUCUGGGGCCGAUACUGACGUGAGGAGCGAAAAGCGUGGGGGAGCGAAACAGGG